rnacentral:rRNA from 1 species
GAUGAACGCUAGCUACAGGCUUAACACAUGCAAGUCGAGGGGUAACGAGAGGAAAGCUUGCUUUCCUUGUCGACGACCGGCGCACGGGUGAGUAACGCGUAUCCAACCUGCCCCCAACUAGGGAAUAACCUUGCGAAAGUAAGACUAAUACCCUAUAAUUUCCUCAGAUGUCAUCUGACGAGGAAUAAAGAUUUAUCGGUUGUGGAUGGGGAGGCGUCUGAUUAGCUUGUUGGCGGGGUAACGGCCCACCAAGGCAACGAUCAGUAGGGGUGCUGAGAGGAAGGUCCCCCACAUUGGAACUGAGACACGGUCCAAACUCCUACGGGAGGCAGCAGUGAGGAAUAUUGGUCAAUGGGCGGAAGCCUGAACCAGCCAAGUAGCGUGCAGGAUGACGGCCCUGUGGGUUGUAAACUGCUUUUAUACAGGAAUAAAGUUAGCCACGUGUGGUUAUUUGUAGGUACUGUAUGAAUAAGGACCGGCUAAUUCCGUGCCAGCAGCCGCCGUAA